rnacentral:rRNA from 1 species
UACGUAGGGGGCUAGCGUUGUCCGGAAUCAUUGGGCGUAAAGAGCGCGUAGGCGGCCAGAUAAGUCCGGUGUGAAAGUCACAGGCUCAACCUGUGAAUGCCGCUGGAAACUGUCUGGCUAGAGUCCGGGAGGGGCGAGUGGAAUUCCUGGUGUAGCGGUGAAAUGCGCAGAUAUCAGGAGGAACACCAAUGGCGAAGGCAGCUCGCUGGAACGGAACUGACGCUGAGGCGCGAAAGCGUGGGGAGCGAACAGG